rnacentral:tmRNA from 1 species
UACGCUCUAGCUGCCUAAGGGCAGCUUGUCCGCCUCUCCGAAUACUUGUGGUUAGAGAGACCGACUGAAGCGCACGCACACAAGGCCGUAUAAAGUCAAGCCUCGGGGCUUUGUACUAAAUUAAGAGGAUCGCGAUUUGUAUCCUGUUCGUCGGGUCACAAAGAGUUAAAACAAUAGACGAUAUCUAAGCAUGUAGUAUUCUCGAGCGUAAUGCUGGCGGACGCGGGUUCAACUCCCGCCACCUCCACCA